rnacentral:rRNA from 1 species
GUAGGUGGCAAGCGUUGUCCGGAAUUAUUGGGCGUAAAGCGCGCGCAGGUGGGUUCUUUAAGUCUGAUGUGAAAGCCCCCGGGCUCAACCGGGGAGGGUCAUUGGAAACUGGGGAACUUGAGUGCAGGAGAGGAAAGUGGAAUUCCACGUGUAGCGGUGAAAUGCGUAGAUAUGUGGAGGAACACCAGUGGCGAAGGCGACUUUCUGGCCUGUAACUGACACUGAGGCGCGAAAGCGUGGGGGAGCAAACAGGAUUAGAUACCCUGGUAGUCCACGCCGUAAACGAUGAGUGCUAAGUGUUGGGGGGUUUCCGCCCCUCAGUGCUGCAGCUAACGCAUUAAGCACUCCGCCUGGGGAGUACGGUCGCAAGACUG